rnacentral:tRNA from 1 species
GGCCCCAUCGUCCAGCGGUCAGGACACCGGACUUUCGAUCCGGCAACCGGGGUUCGAUUCCCCGUGGGGUCACCA